ensembl:lncRNA
CCUCCCCUUAAAAACAAACCUUCAGCCAAGCAGCGCGCCUCGGGAAAGCCGUGAAAAAAGGGAGAAAGGGACCGAGGAAAACAAAAGAAAGCGGGGCGGAGGAGGCCGUGCCGCCGCCGAGGAGAAGCAGCAGGCCGCGCGCAGGGAGUGCACUGCGCGUGCGCGGGGCGGGGCGCGCAUGCGCCGUUUGGCGCAGUGGGCCGCGUGGGACGCGGUGCGCGCUGUGCGCUGUCAGCUCAGCGCCAGGCGGCUGUCAGCACAGAGCUGCCCUCAGCGAGCGGGAGGGCCGCUCAGAAAGAAGUGGAUCGGGAUGGCAAAGACGCUACCAAUUGGAUAGCGGGGAUCUGCGUUAAAAAAAAAAAAAAAAAAAAAAGCCUGGCGCGCCUAUCUGUGAUCCCUCGCGGGCGGGAGGAGAACUGUAGCGCUGCGGAAGCAGAGUUGCAAACCCAUCCUGCAGAAAAAGCAGCGUCAGAAACGCGGCAGCACCGCCCGCCCUGCCAGCACGUGCAGCUGCCUGCCGCCGCC